rnacentral:rRNA from 1 species
GGGUGCGAUCAUACCAGCGUCAAUGCACCGGAUCCCAUCAGAACUCCGCAGUUAAGCGCGCUUGGGCUAGAGUAGUACUGGGAUGGGUGACCUCCCGGGAACUCCUGGUGUUGCACCCUC